GGGUGCGCAACGCGUAUGGAACCUACCUUGUACAGGGGAAUAGCCCAGGGAAACUUGGAUUAAUGCCCCGUGGUACCAUGACCCGGCAUCGGGAUAUGGUUAAAGCCUUCGGGCGGUACAAGAUGGCCAUGCGUCCCAUUAGUUUGUUGGUAAGGUAACGGCUUACCAAGACUACGAUGGGUAGGGGCCCUGAGAGGGGGAUCCCCCACACUGGUACUGAGACACGGACCAGACUCCUACGGGAGGCAGCAGUGAGGAAUAUUGGACAAUGGAGGAGACUCUGAUCCAGCCAUGCCGCGUGCAGGAAGAAUGCCCUAUGGGUAGUAAACUGCUUUUAUACGGGAAGAAAAAGAGCUACGUGUAGCUUACUGACGGUACCGUAAGAAUAAGGACCGGCUAACUCCGUGCCAGCAGCCGCGGUAAUACGGAGGGUCCGAGCGUUAUCCGGAAUUAUUGGGUUUAAAGGGUCCGUAGGCGGGCCGAUAAGUCAGGGGUGAAAGUCUGCCGCUCAACGGUAGAACUGCCUUUGAUACUGUCGGUCUUGAGUUAUAGUGAAGUUGCCGGAAUAUGUAGUGUAGCGGUGAAAUGCAUAGAUAUUACAUAGAACACCGAUUGCGAAGGCAGGUGACUAACUAUAUACUGACGCUGAUGGACGAAAGCGUGGGGAGCGAACAGGAUUAGAUACCCUGGUAGUCCACGCCGUAAACGAUGGAUACUAGCUGUCCGGAACCUUGAGUUCUGGGCGGCCAAGCGAAAGUGAUAAGUAUCCCACCUGGGGAGUACGUUCGCAAGAAUGAAACUCAAAGGAAUUGACGGGGGCCCGCACAAGCGGUGGAGCAUGUGGUUUAAUUCGAUGAUACGCGAGGAACCUUACCAGGGCUUAAAUGCAUAUUGACAGGUCUAGAGAUAGAUUUUCCUUCGGGCAAUUUGCAAGGGGCUGCAUGGUUGUCGUCAGCUCGUGCCGUGAGGUGUCAGGGUUAAGUCCUAUAACGAGCGCAACCCCUACCGUUAGUUGCCAGCAUGUCAUGAUGGGGACUCUAACGGGACUGCCGGUGCAAACCGUGAGAAGGUGGGGAUGACGUCAAAUCAUCACGCCCUUUACGUCCUGGCCCACACACCUGCUACAAUGCCAGGUACAAAGAGCAGCCAUGUCGCAAGGCAGAGCGAAUCUAUAAAACCUGUCACAGUUCGGAUCGGGGUCUGCAACUCGACCCCGU
rnacentral:rRNA from 1 species